rnacentral:rRNA from 1 species
UACGUAGGGUGCAAGCGUUAAUCGGAAUUACUGGGCGUAAAGCGUGCGCAGGCGGUUUUGUAAGCCAGAUGUGAAAUCCCCGGGCUUAACCUGGGAAUGGCAUUUGGGACUGCAAGGCUUGAGUUUGGCAGAGGAGACUGGAAUUCCUGGUGUAGCAGUGAAAUGCGUAGAUAUCAGGAAGAACACCCGUGGCUAAGGCGGUUCUCUAGUACGGUACUGACGCUGAGACGCGAAAGCGUGGGGAGCGAACAGG